rnacentral:rRNA from 1 species
CCUACGGAGGGCAGCAGUGAGGAAUAUUGGUCAAUGGGCGGAAGCCUGAACCAGCCAAGUAGCGUGCAGGAUGACGGCCCUACGGGUUGUAAACUGCUUUUAUACGGGAAUAACGCGCCUUACGUGUAGGGCUUUGCAUGUACCGUAUGAAUAAGGACCGGCUAAUGCCGUGCCAGGAGCCGCGGUAAUGCGGAAGGUCCGGGCGUUAUCCGGAGUUAUUGGGUUUAAUGGGAGCGUCGGCCGCAUGUCAAGCGUGCUGUGAAAUGUCCGGGCUCCACCCGGGCCUUGCAGCGCGAACUGGCGUGCUUGAGUCCGCGGAAAGCAGGCGGAAUUCGUCGUGUAGCGGUGAAAUGCUUAGAUAUGACGAAGAACCCCGAGUGCGAAGGCAGCUUGCUGCAGCGGAACUGACGCUGAUGCUCGAAAGCGCGGGUAUCGAACAGGAUUAGAUACCCUUGUAGUC